GACGAACCCUUGCGGCGUGCUUAACACAUGCAAGUCGAACGGAAAGGCCCUGCUUUUGUGGGGUGCUCGAGUGGCGAACGGGUGAGUAACACGUGAGUAACCUGCCCUUGACUUUGGGAUAACUUCAGGAAACUGGGGCUAAUACCGGAUAGGAGCUCCUGCUGCAUGGUGGGGGUUGGAAAGUUUCGGCGGUUGGGGAUGGACUCGCGGCUUAUCAGCUUGUUGGUGGGGUAGUGGCUUACCAAGGCUUUGACGGGUAGCCGGCCUGAGAGGGUGACCGGCCACAUUGGGACUGAGAUACGGCCCAGACUCCUACGGGAGGCAGCAGUGGGGAAUAUUGCACAAUGGGCGGAAGCCUGAUGCAGCAACGCCGCGUGCGGGAUGACGGCCUUCGGGUUGUAAACCGCUUUCGCCUGUGACGAAGCGUGAGUGACGGUAAUGGGUAAAGAAGCACCGGCUAACUACGUGCCAGCAGCCGCGGUGAUACGUAGGGUGCGAGCGUUGUCCGGAUUUAUUGGGCGUAAAGGGCUCGUAGGUGGUUGAUCGCGUCGGAAGUGUAAUCUUGGGGCUUAACCCUGAGCGUGCUUUCGAUACGGGUUGACUUGAGGAAGGUAGGGGAGAAUGGAAUUCCUGGUGGAGCGGUGGAAUGCGCAGAUAUCAGGAGGAACACCAGUGGCGAAGGCGGUUCUCUGGGCCUUUCCUGACGCUGAGGAGCGAAAGCGUGGGGAGCGAACAGGCUUAGAUACCCUGGUAGUCCACGCUGUAAACGGUGGGUACUAGGUGUGGGGUCCAUUCCACGGGUUCCGUGCCGUAGCUAACGCUUUAAGUACCCCGCCUGGGGAGUACGGCCGCAAGGCUAAAACUCAAAGGAAUUGACGGGGCCCCGCACAAGCGGCGGAGCAUGCGGAUUAAUUCGAUGCAACGCGUAGAACCUUACCUGGGUUUGACAUGGAUCGGGAGUGCUCAGAGAUGGGUGUGCCUCUUUUGGGGUCGGUUCACAGGUGGUGCAUGGCUGUCGUCAGCUCGUGUCGUGAGAUGUUGGGUUAAGUCCCGCAACGAGCGCAACCCUUGUUCACUGUUGCCAGCACGUUAUGGUGGGGACUCAGUGGAGACCGCCGGGGUCAACUCGGAGGAAGGUGGGGAUGACGUCAAGUCAUCAUGCCCCUUAUGUCCAGGGCUUCACGCAUGCUACAAUGGCUGGUACAGAGAGUGGCGAGCCUGUGAGGGUGAGCGAAUCUCGGAAAGCCGGUCUCAGUUCGGAUUGGGGUCUGCAACUCGACCUCAUGAAGUCGGAGUCGCUAGUAAGCGCAGAUCAGCAACGCUGCGGUGAAUACGUUCCCCGGAGA
rnacentral:rRNA from 1 species